rnacentral:tRNA from 1 species
GGGCCCGUAGUCUAGCGGCUAGGAUGCCCAGGGACGGCAGCCUCACGCCGGCCCCGCCCGCCUAUGCCUGACGCGCGGGAGAUCCCGGGUUCGAAUCCCGGCGGGCCCA